UUGCUCCCUGGGUGACGAGCGGCGGACGGGUGAGUAAUGUCUGGGAAACUGCCUGAUGGAGGGGGAUAACUACUGGAAACGGUAGCUAAUACCGCAUAACGUCGCAAGACCAAAGAGGGGGACCUUCGGGCCUCUUGCCAUCAGAUGUGCCCAGAUGGGAUUAGCUAGUAGGUGGGGUAAUGGCUCACCUAGGCGACGAUCCCUAGCUGGUCUGAGAGGAUGACCAGCCACACUGGAACUGAGACACGGUCCAGACUCCUACGGGAGGCAGCAGUGGGGAAUAUUGCACAAUGGGCGCAAGCCUGAUGCAGCCAUGCCGCGUGUGUGAAGAAGGCCUUCGGGUUGUAAAGCACUUUCAGCGAGGAGGAAGGUGGUGAGCUUAAUACGUUCAUCAAUUGACGUUACUCGCAGAAGAAGCACCGGCUAACUCCGUGCCAGCAGCCGCGGUAAUACGGAGGGUGCAAGCGUUAAUCGGAAUUACUGGGCGUAAAGCGCACGCAGGCGGUUUGUUAAGUCAGAUGUGAAAUCCCCGGGCUCAACCUGGGAACUGCAUUUGAAACUGGCAAGCUAGAGUCUCGUAGAGGGGGGUAGAAUUCCAGG
rnacentral:rRNA from 1 species